AAUUGGUUGACAGAUAAAUGUACUUGACUUAGGCUCAAAUUAUGAAGUAUUUACUUCACCAAUUA
rnacentral:tRNA from 2 species